AUCUAUAUGGUAUUGAGCACUGUUUGUGUUUCGUAAACCAAAAUCUUAAGCUAUAUAUAUAUAUAUAUAUAUAUAUAUAUAUAUAUAUAUAUAUAUAUAUAUAUUAUGUUGUUGGUUUGCGAAACAUGAGCAGUGCUCAAUACCAUAUAGAU
rnacentral:miRNA from 1 species